AACGAACGCUGGCGGCAUGCCUAACACAUGCAAGUCGAACGAAGCCUUCGGGCUUAGUGGCGCACGGGUGCGUAACACGUGGGAAUCUGCCCUUCGGUUCGGAAUAACAGUUAGAAAUGACUGCUAAUACCGGAUGAUGACGAAAGUCCAAAGAUUUAUCGCCGAAGGAUGAGCCCGCGUAGGAUUAGGUAGUUGGUAGGGUAAUGGCCUACCAAGCCGACGAUCCUUAGCUGGUCUGAGAGGAUGAUCAGCCACACUGGGACUGAGACACGGCCCAGACUCCUACGGGAGGCAGCAGCUAAGAAUAUUCCGCAAUGGACGAAAGUCUGACGGAGCGACGCCGCGUGGAUGACGAAGGCCGAAAGGUUGUAAAAUCCUUUUGCUGAUGAAGAAUAAGCGUGGUAGGGAAUGACCGCGUGAUGACAUUAGUCGGUGAAUAAGCCCCGGUAACUACGUG
rnacentral:rRNA from 1 species